UGUUGCAUGAACUUUGAGAAAUCCUCUAGGUACACCUAGUGCAAGUUGCACAAAUUUACACAAAACAGUCCCCAAAACAUUCUCCGAGAAUCGACCUCUCUCCCAAAACAGUCCCCCAAGACCUUCUACCUCAUAACCCUAACCCCCAAUCCUAGCCCAUUCUCUCUGAAGGUAGUGUUCAGUUGGAGGUUUAGCAAUGGCGUAUUCGAUAUCAUCAAUCUGCAAUCUAUGGUUUCUUGACACACUCACUCUCUCACUCUCUCUCUCUCUCUCUCUCUCUCUCUCUCUCUCAGUCUUCCAUCUGGUUCACUCCUCUUUCUUCCCCGAUAUACCGACCCAAAUCCCCACAUCUCCUCCACCUGGGUUUACUCAUGUUUUACUUUACCGAUGGAUUCUGAUUCUCUAACCACCACAUCGCUCUAUCCAAUAGGGAAUGAAUCCCUUUUUUUUUUCCUUUCUAUUGAAGCUGAUUGAAUUCCAGGUAUCGAUUAGCAAUGGCGGUGAAGCACGGGCUCCACCGAAACAGAGCCGCCAGAUCUCAUUCCCUACUGCUGUAUUUAUAUUCGUCUUGUUGUUUGGUUGAUUUUCCUCGUCGGCCAUGGCCUCUACAGCUCCGUGCAAUUGCUCUCUUCUUUGCUUUAGAGAAGCAGAAAGAGUGAAAAUUGAACGUCCUCUUGUCAAGAUUAUCUGAAAAUCAGGAAUGCUACUUUUUUUUUUUUUUUUUUUUUUUUGGCUUUUUGAGCUGUGAGCAAUGCACAUUUGUUACAAACUUUGCAAGUGUGUUUUGUGUUUUAAGAUAGUGAGUAUAUGAGUGCACAUUGCAGUAUUAGGAUAGAGAGUUUAGCUUUGUCUCGGUACUUAGAUGGUCAAGUUUUAAGCAGAUUUUGGUGAUUGACAACAAAUUGUGGUUUGUAUUGACAACUAUAUAUAUAUAUAUAUAUAUAUAUCUGCCUCUGCUUCUAGCCUACAUUGAGGUCUUAUUAUGUUCUUGAUUAUGCAUACCGUGAAACUUUUUCUUGACAGUUUUCACUUUCACCAGAAGUAAGUGUAACUCGUAUUAUCUUGGUAAUGUAGUUUUUAGCAUGUCUUUUUCAUACCUACUAGUUUUUAGCAUUUGGAAGGUAUAGCUUUCUACUAAGAUAUCAUUUAAAUAUGUAGACUCUGUUUUGCAAUUUUUUUAAUAGAUGUUUUAACUAAAUCAACUCACAAUUUGAGCUUCUUGUUGGAUUUCAAUGCAAUGGUUCAGGGAAGGGCACACAAGGAGCGAUCUACUGAUCUAGGUUUGAUUGUCAUGUAUCCAUGUCUACAGAUAUAUUUAGAUUCUAGUAUGGUUAUUAGAGUUCCUACCAGUAAGGUUACUAGAGUUCUGAUUCAUGGGCGUGAAUUCUUAUUCUAUAUGUCUUUUAUUUCUUUGUUUUGGUAGUCUAGUGUAAUUAAAGACACAUUGAAUGGUUUAUAUGCUUCGUGAUUUAGUAUUGUGAUUUAUUCCUGGAUAUGAAAGAUUUGUUGAUUGAUAGUUUGGAUUUGUUAGACGUAAUGAUUUUCAAAUGGUCAUGCUAAAGCAAAGUAGAACUGCAGGAUAUAUAGUUGCCACUUUUAGUUUUCUCUUUCUCUUUGGGAUGCAUAAGUGACCAUGCCUGGUUGCUUUUGUCUCUGACUGCUUAUAAUUCCAAUCUGAAACAGCUAUGCAUGGGUUUUUUGCAGAAUGCAUGUUAGCUAAUCUUUGAUUUGUGGCUGAAGAUAUAAUAGGUUUGGAUGCAUGCAUGCAUGUGUGAAGUUUGAAAAUUGACUAUUGAUCGAAUUAGAUCUUCUUUGACUGCCAUUCUUCCAUUCUUCCUAUAAAUUGCUGCAAAUUAAAAGAAAUUGUUUUGGUUGAUGGGUCUCCAAGACCAGGUAGUCUAAUACAAGUGUCAAAGCAACUUGAUUCCUGCUGAAAACUGGGUCUUUUGAAUUGAGUUUAUUGAAUGAUCCAUGGAGAAAAGCAAGCUUCUAUGAUCAGAAAUGAGCUAAAGAUGGGGUUUAUCCAUCUUUGAUGAAGAUUCAGAUACAUUUUCUAAAAAACCCUUCUUGGAGUUGAAGACAAGUAAUGAAGAAAGGGAUAGGAAAAACAACAAUAUAAUAGUCAAUUUUACAGUUCUUGGUACAAUUUCUUUUAAGUUACUAUUCUUCUCUUUGUUUUUGUUGCAUCGAAGUUGGAUGAGAAGUGCCAUGUGUGAGCUCAGAUGGGUGGCACAUAGUUUUCUCUAAUUUCCAAGUUUUUUAGACUAUAACCAACCAAUACAGGGAAACUAGAGAGGAGGGUUUUAGGGUUUUCAAGAGAGUCAAUUGCAGAGUAAAACCACCCUGAUUGGUGGUAGUUGUUAUUAGAAAAAAAAUGCAGUUGUUUAGGAUUAAUGGGGACUUGGGAACGGUGAGUCUCUCUGAAGAGAGAAACAACCCUUUCAGUACCAGCCCUUCAAUUUUAUAUACACUAUUAAGAAAAUAUAUAAUAUAUCUUCUUCUGCUCACUUUGCUUCCUCUUUGCAGACUAGUUAAUUAGGUGAGACCUGCUCCUCAUCAAAGCACACUACAGCUUAGAUUCAUACUGGCUUCCUUCCGAUCUACUUCAUGCCCUCCUUCCUCUAUUUCAUGCUGUUUUUCAUAGAGCUAGCUUAAAAUAAAGUGCUCUAUACUUUUCUAGCUAGUUUUGAAGUUCUAAAUAUUCAUAUACCUAAGCUAUAACAGCACUAGAGAUUUGAAGAUUGUACUUUGUUUCU